rnacentral:rRNA from 1 species
UGCGUAGGCGGGCUAAUAAGUCAGUGGUGAAAUCUUUCGGCUCAACCGAGAAACUGCCAUUGAUACUGUUAGUCUUGAGUUCGGUUGAGGUAGGCGGAAUGUGUAAUGUAGCGGUGAAAUGCUUAGAUAUUACACAGAACACCAAUUGCGUAGGCAGCUUACUAGACCGACACUGACGCUGAGGCACGAAAGCGUGGGGGACUAACAGGAUUAGAUACCCUGGUAGUCC